UACAGAGGUCCCAAGCGUUGUUCGGAUUCACUGGGCGUAACGGGUGCGUAGGCGGUCGGGUAAGUCUGACGUGAAAUCUCCGGGCCUAACCCGGAAACUGCGUUGGAAACUGCCUGGCUAGAGGAAUGGAGGGGAGACUGGAAUACUUGGUGUAGCAGUGAAAUGCGUAGAUAUCAAGUGGAACACCAGUGGCGAAGGCGAGUCUCUGGACAUUUCCUGACGCUGAGGCACGAAAGCCAGGGGAGCAAACGGG
rnacentral:rRNA from 1 species